rnacentral:rRNA from 1 species
GAUCUGAAAUCAGGUAGGGCUACCCGCUGAACUUAAGCAUAUCAAUAAGCGGAGGAAAAGAAACUAACAAGGAUUCCCCUAGUAACGGCGAGUGAAGCGGGAAGAGCUCAAAUUUAAAAUCUAGUUUGCUUGCAAACUCGAGUUGUAGUCUGAAGAAACGUUUUCCAUGGAAGCUGAGGCACAAGUCCUUUGGAACAGGGCAUCAUAGAGGGUGAGAAUCCUGUCCAUGGUCUCAAGUCUUUCAUUUUGUGAUACGUUUUCUAAGAGUCAGGUUGUUUGGGAAUGCAGCCUAAAAUGGGUGGUAAAUUUCAUCUAAAGCUAAAUAUUGGCGAGAGACCGAUAGCGAACAAGUACCGUGAGGGAAAGAUGAAAAGAACUUUGAAAAGAGAGUUAAAAAGUACGUGAAAUUGUUGAAAGGGAACCGUUUGAAGCCAG